rnacentral:tRNA from 1 species
GCCCAUGUAGCUCAACGGUUAGAGCAUCGGUUUUGUAAACCGGGGGUUGGGGGUUCGAUUCCCUCCAUGGGCU